AGUGAACGCUGGCGGUAGGCCUAACACAUGCAAGUCGAACGGCAGCACAGUAAGAGCUUGCUCUUACGGGUGGCGAGUGGCGGACGGGUGAGGAAUACAUCGGAAUCUACUUUUUCGUGGGGGAUAACGUAGGGAAACUUACGCUAAUACCGCAUACGACCUACGGGUGAAAGCAGGGGAUCUUCGGACCUUGCGCGAUUGAAUGAGCCGAUGUCGGAUUAGCUAGUUGGCGGGGUAAAGGCCCACCAAGGCGACGAUCCGUAGCUGGUCUGAGAGGAUGAUCAGCCACACUGGAAAUGAGACACGGUCCAGACUCCUACGGGAGGCAGCAGUGGGGAAUAUUGGACAAUGGGCGCAAGCCUGAUCCAGCCAUACCGCGUGGGUGAAGAAGGCCUUCGGGUUGUAAAGCCCUUUUGUUGGGAAAGAAAAGCAGCGGGUUAAUACCCCGCUGUUCUGACGGUACCCAAAGAAUAAGCACCGGCUAACUUCGUG
rnacentral:rRNA from 1 species